rnacentral:rRNA from 1 species
AGCGAACGCUGGCGGCAGGCUUAACACAUGCAAGUCGAGCGCCCCGCCAGGGGAGCGGCAGACGGGCGAGUAACACGUGGGAACAUACCUUUUGGUUCGGAACAACUGAGGGAAACUUCAGCUAAUACCGGAUAAGCCCUUACGGGGAAAGAUUUAUCGCCGAAAGAUUGGCCCGCGUCUGAUUAGCUAGUUGGUGAGGUAACGGCUCACCAAGGCGACGAUCAGUAGCUGGUCUGAGAGGAUGAUCAGCCUCACUGGGACUGAGACACGGCCCAGACUCCUACGGGAGGAAGCAGUGGGGAAUAUUGGACAAUGGGGGCAACCCUGAUCCAGCCAUGCCGCGUGAGUGAUGAAGGCCUUAGGGUUGUAAAGCUCUUUUGCCCGGGAAGAUAAUGACGGUACCGGGAGAAUAAGCCCCGGCUAACUUCGUG